GCCACUCUUUGAAUGUUUCUGGCUUGGAAACACUGCUGUCCCGUAGCAAGGAGAGCCUGGAAGAAAAUGAGUCCCUUACAGGGACAAAAGGAAGUAUUUUGAGUGCUCAAAUCCUGUUCCAAUUUGUGUCCCUCUGAAGCCUGAGGAACUGCCCUGCCGCUCGGUGGCGUGCAGUUCAGAUUUGCUGGACCUAGGACCACAUUUGUGGUUUACAAUGGCUGCUUAGUGCUGCUCCACACUUGUCUUUAUAUCCCUCUGAAGAAGGACUCAUUAAGCUACUAUACAGAUGUCCAAUUACUCCAGCACCAUUUGUUGAAGAAGACUAUCUUUCCCCCAUUGAACUGCUUUUGCACCUUUGUCAAAAACAGAUGGGAAGAGUCGUGAAAAAAAAAAGAGGAGACAGAAACCUCUGCUAUUAAAAAUAUCUUCCUCUCCUAACCAAAAACAAAGCUGUGUGCAUAUAUGUAUAUGUGUGUGAGAGAGACAGUGCCUGCAUUCCAGCCUGCCUGCCAGGGACACAGGAAGACUGUAUUUCUCACUCUCCUUUGCAAGUAGAAUGGACCAUAUGACUAGUCCUGACCAGUAGACAAUAAGCAGAAGGGACACAAGUAGAAGCACAGAAGAAUUUCUCCCCCCGGUACAUAGGUGUGUAUUCUUCGUCGUGGGUUCUUCUAGUUGUGGCAUGUGGGACGCUGCCUCAGCGUGGUCUGAUGAGCAGUGCCAUGUCCGUGCCCAGGAUUCGAACUAACGAAACACUGGGCCGCCUGCAGCGGAGCGCGUGAACUUAACCACUCGGCCACGGGGCCAGCCCCUGGAUUGUGAUGGUUUUUAUUUCCUUCUUUAUCUCUCCUGAACUUUUCUAAAUGUUUUACAAUGAACACAUAAUAAAUUUUGUACAAAAAUGUUAUGAGAUUGAAUCUUAUAUGUAAAAGGUUCUGAUUUUUCAAGAUGCCAUCAUUACCAGGAAACCAGGUGCAUCUUUCCUACUGGUUUAACUCACAAUGCUAAGUGAAACUUUCUUUGGCAUAUUUGACUAGUACAGAGCCAAAUGUUCUUCUUCUUUUAAAGCAAGUUUGAAAACUAAUGGACAAUUCCACAAUCAGCCAAGAUAUCCAACUCAGUUCCAC
rnacentral:lncRNA from 1 species